GCAAGUCGAAUGAGUUUAUACUCAUGGCAGACGAGGUAGGAACACGUAGGUACGUACCCAAGAGUCAGGGAUAACCCGGCGAAAGUCGAAACAAUACUUGAUAGUCCCUUCGGGGUAAAGAUUUAUCGCUCUAGGAACGGCCCGCGGUCUAUCAGCUUGUUGGUAAGGUAACGGCUUACCAAGGCUACGACGGAUAGGGGAGGUGAGAGCCUGGCC
rnacentral:rRNA from 1 species